UACGAAGGUGGCAAGCGUUGUUCGGAUUUACUGGGCGUACAGGGAGCGUAGGCGGUUGGAUAAGCCCUCCGUGAAAUCUCCAGGCUUAACCUGGAAAGUGCAGGGGGGACUGUUCAGCUAGAGGAUGGGAGAGGAGCGCGGAAUUCCCGGUGUAGCGGUGAAAUGCGUAGAGAUCGGGAGGAAGGCCGGUGGCGAAGGCGGCGCUCUGGAACAUUUCUGACGCUGAGGCUCGAAAGCGUGGGGAGCAAACAGG
rnacentral:rRNA from 1 species